UGGGGAAUAUUGCACAAUGGGCGCAAGCCUGAUGCAGCAACGCCGCGUGAACGAUGAAGGUCUUCGGAUCGUAAAGUUUUGUUGCAGGGGAAGAUAAUGACGGUACCCUGUGAGGAAGCCCCGGCUAACUACGUGCCAGCAGCCGCGGUAAUACGUAGGGGGUUAGCGUUAUCCGGAUUUACUGGGCGUAAAGGGUGCGUAGGUGGUCUUUCAAGUCGGUGGUUAAAGGCUACGGCUCAACCGUAGUUAGCCUCAGAAACUGGAAGACUUGAGUGGAGAAGAGGAAAGUGGAAUUCCCAGUGUAGCGGUGAAAGACGUAGUUAUUGGGAGGAAGACCAGUAGCGAAGGCGGCUUUUUGGCCUGCAACUGACACUGAGGCGCGAAGGCGUGGGGGGCAAACAGG
rnacentral:rRNA from 1 species